CCCGCACAAGCGGUGGAGCAUGUGUUUAAUUUCGAUGCAACGCGAAGAACCUUACUUACUCUUGACAUCCAAAGAACUUACCAGAGAUGGAUUGGUGCCUUCGGGAACUCUGAGACAGGUGCUGCAUGGCUGUCGUCAGCUCGUGUUGUGAAAUGUUGGGUUAAGUCCCGCAACGAGCGCAACCCUUAUCCUUUGUUGCCAGCGGUCCGGCCGGGAACUCAAAGGAGACUGCCAGUGAUAAACUGGAGGAAGGUGGGGAUGACGUCAAGUCAUCAUGGCCCUUACGAGUAGGGCUACACACGUGCUACAAUGGCGCAUACAAAGAGAAGCGACCUCGCGAGAGCAAGCGGACCUCAUAAAGUGCGUCGUAGUCCGGAUUGGAGUCUGCAACUCGACUCCAUGAAGUCGGAAUCGCUAGUAAUCGUAGAUCAGAAUGCUACGGUGAAUACGUUCCCGGGCCUUGUACACACCGCCCGUCACACCAUGGGAGUGGGUUGCUAAAGAAGUAGGUAGCUUAACUUUAGGGUGGGCGC
rnacentral:rRNA from 1 species